GAUGAACGCUGGCGGCGUGCCUAAUACAUGCAAGUCGAGCGAACGGACGAGAAGCUUGCUUCUCUGAUGUUAGCGGCGGACGGGUGAGUAACACGUGGAUAACCUACCUAUAAGACUGGGAUAACUUCGGGAAACCGGAGCUAAUACCGGAUGAUAUUUUGAACCGCAUGGUUCAAAAGUGAAAGACGGUCUUGCUGUCACUUAUAGAUGGAUCCGCGCUGCAUUAGCUAGUUGGUAAGGUAACGGCUUACCAAGGCAACGAUGCAUAGCCGACCUGAGAGGGUGAUCGGCCACACUGGAACUGAGACACGGUCCAGACUCCUACGGGAGGCAGCAGUAGGGAAUCUUCCGCAAUGGGCGAAAGCCUGACGGAGCCACGCCGCGUGAGUGAUGAAGGUCUUCGGAUCGUAAAACUCUGUUAUUAGGGAAGAACAUAUGUGUAAGUAACUGUGCACAUCUUGACGGUACCUAAUCAGAAAGCCACGGAUAACUACGUG
rnacentral:rRNA from 1 species